rnacentral:lncRNA from 1 species
UUUCCUUGGAGCUGUGGACUCCUCUACUGGGUCCUGUGUAUCUGCCUGGGAUGCAAGGAAGAAAGAAUAUAGAGAACAAAGGGUUAUGUGCUUGGGGUUCUGGCCAGCCCUCUGUAGGCAUAAUGGUUUUGUGCACUGUGUAAAGGUUAUCCUGGUGUUAUUCAAAUGCUGAUUUCUCUGCCCUACUUUCCUGUUUCAAUCCAGAUGUGGCUUUGUUAUGUUUAUUCUUAGACGCUCCUCUCUCAAGUUUGUCUAAACGCAGCUCCUCAUUCAUUCUCUGCCUUGUCAGUAAAAGCCAACGAGCCAAUACAGAGCUUUAGAGAGAAUAAGGUGGGACUUCCGAUUCCAGGAGGAGUGGAGAAAGAGACAAGAAGAGAGGUCCAGGAAGCAUUGGGAGAAGUGAGCUGGAAAAAGAAAUGACUAAAAAAAAUAUCCCAAGUAAGAUGGGAAUAUUGUCUGGGGGAAAUUCUGAGUAGCUUGGAGGUUUAGAAUGGAGUAAUAAUUGCUCAAUAUUUGGCUGAAGGCAAUUUUAAUAAAUCUUAUUCUCUCUGUGCGGUGAUUUGGGGGAAUUAGCUGGCUAAGGAAUAAUUGCCACUGCACUAAUUUUAUGAAUCUAUAUUAAUAUGGUGAUCAUUUAGCAGUCCUCCAGUAGGCUCCUAUCCCUUCCUCUCACAACCCCUAGCUCAGAGCAAAGUUUUAUGGCAAACUACCUCUCCAACUCCAAGAGAGCUGCAAGCUGCCAUGUAACACCUGCAGAGAAGGGGCAAGUUGUAAACACAGGGAUGCAGUGGUUGUAGUCUGUGAGUGAACCCUAACUUUUUUUUCUGAAAGGGAAAUGGAAUGCUUUGUCACCACAUUAUAGGACUUACGAGAAGUAGUUGGGCAUAGAGGCUUAUGCCUGUGACCUCUGCACUUCGGGGACUGAAGCUCCAGGCCAUGAAUUUGGAGUGCUCAAUGCACUGGAAGGAAGAAAACAUCAUCCUAACAGCCAUGGCCUCUCCAGGAGCCCCCAGAUCUCUGGUUCUUGUUUUGAGCAUUAGCUCUUUCCAUUAGCCAGUGUAGGCAGCCCUGACUCUAUGAUUGGGAGAAGCAACACAAAGUGAAAAUAGAGAUCUUCUGUGUGAAAGUUCCUUUGAGGUGGGAACAUUGAAGCAAGUGAGAGGUCUUUUUGAGUGUGGAGCCCCGUGCUUCUGAAGGAGUCUGACCCACGAAGAUAGCUCGG